rnacentral:tRNA from 1 species
GGGGGUAUAGCUCAGUGGUAGAGCAUUUGACUGCAGAUUAAACUGCUGUCA